GUAGGUGGCAAGCGUUGUCCGGAAUUAUUGGGCGUAAAGCGCGCGCAGGCGGGUUCUUUAAGUCUGAUGUGAAAGCCCACGGGCUCAACCGUGGAGGGUCAUUGGAAACUGGAGAACUUGAGUACAGAAGAGGAAAGCGGAAUUCCACGUGUAGCGGUGAAAUGCGUAGAGAUGUGGAGGAACACCAGUGGCGAAGGCGGCUUUCUGGUCUGUAACUGACGCUGGGGCGCGAAAGCGUGGGGAGCAAACAGGAUUAGAUACCCUGGUAGUCCACGCCGUAAACGAUGAGUGCUAAGUGUUAGGGGGUUUCCGCCCCUUAGUGCUGCAGCUAACGCAUUAAGCACUCCGCCUGGGGAGUACGGCCGCAAGGCUG
rnacentral:rRNA from 1 species